rnacentral:lncRNA from 1 species
UGACAAUAAUAAUAAUAAUAAAGCUGAUGAUGGUAAUGAAUAAUCGAAAAUUGAAUGUAUGUACAACAAAAUGUAAACAUGUAGACGAUGAAAUGACGAUAAUAAACGUAAGAGUUGAAGCAAAAUAAACCAAAAAUAAAGAAAUAACAAGAAUGGAAAACAAAAAUAAGAUAAAUACUAAAACUAAAAAUAAUUAAAACUUCAAUAGUGAAUCCAUAAAUAAUAAAUGAGUAAAUAUUAGGUAAAAAUAGUCUAAAAACAACAAUGUAUAAUAAUAAAAAUAGUAGUAAGAAUGUAAAUAAUGAUAUUAGUGAUAAUAGAAGUAAUAAUAAUAAUAUAACAAUGGUAGCAAUGUUAAAAAAAUAACAAUAACAAUAGUAAAAUAAUGGUGAUACUAUGAAAAUUAAUUGCCUUAAUAGCAAAUAAAAUAAAAUAAAAUAAUAAAAGACUAAUUUGAACUUAAAACAGAAAUCUGGGGGGCAAAUUCACAAAUAAAUAAAAGAAAGGGAUCGAAUUGAGUACGCGGAUAACAAAGAGGGGCUAAAGGGGAAAAUAUCCCCGCUCUUUAAAACGCAGCGUUUUACAUAGGACCCAAAUGAAAUUAGAAUAAAAUUACAGGGCAAAAUAAAAAAUAAAAGAAAUCUGACAGAAAGGGCUUAAAUUAUAGAAUGGGAGAAAUGUUGAAGGACCCAUUUCAUAAAUACCCCAUCCAUCCCAAAACACGCAGGUUUGGUGGCAAUCGGGUCGGGUCAUGAAUAUCCGGGAUGAGACGGCGCCGUUUUUGGAGCCAUUGAGAUUUGGCUCUAACUACGUCGUACCCCGUUCCAUGUAUAUACUAUUUUAUGGAGGAGAAAAACCGUAGGCCACCAUAUCCCAUUUUCGGUCCUUGAAACCGAUUGAGGCUCAGGCCGUAUCCCACCGUCCUUAGCCGAGCAGCGCCUCCCUUUCAACUCCGAUUUCAACAGAGCAGGUGAGGGCGACGGUGGACUAACGGAGGUAAUCCCUCUUCUCUUUCUAUUUAGUAUUAUUCCUAUCUAAAAAAAACGAAUCGGAAAUAAAAAGAAACCAAAAUAUCACCUUUUUUUAAUUUUUGAUUUCUUUUUUUUUUGUAUUCUUCUCUGUAUAUUUCUGUCAAAAAAAGUUUACAUAUGGUUCGGUCUUUUAUAGCUGAGAAUAAACGAUACCACUGUUUUAUUUUCCUCUCGUUACUAUUUUUUUUUUUGUCCUUUCUCUGUCUUUUCGUCUUUUCUUGUUUCGUUUGCAGGCCUGGACGAAGUCAACGGAGAUGAAAUUUUCCGUUUUGGUGCAAAGGGGGCUAGGCCUCGGGCAGUGGACGCGCUGACACCGCACGUGGAGGCAGCGGCGCAGAGGGAUGUGGCUAGGGCUUGCUUUCCUCCGAAAAUAGUUAGGUGUUGGGCUUAGGGUUUGAAUUUGAUUUUGGGCUUUGGGACUGGGGUUGGUUUAGUUUGGGCUUAUUUUUAUUUGGGUUUUUAGGCCCAGGUCAAAAUUGACCUGUUACAAAAUGUUUAUAGUACAAAUGAGCACGAAUAAUACAUAAUUAUGUAAUAUUUGUUAUAUUAUCAUGCGUAAUUACAUUAUCAGUAAACAUUUGUUAUACACAUAUCUCAUCUGUAAAAUUUUCGUGCUCAUAUAGUAAAAUUUGGUAUUGCCAAUUUUAGUGUUGAUGUAUCAGCUAGAAACAUUUUACUGAUAAUAUUUUUGAGCUAGAAGCGUUUCAUCAAAAUUGGUCCAUUCCCGUAAUUUUUCAAAAAAUCAACUUAUUUUUGGAAUUUAAAAGAAAAAAAGGCUUUAUAUGGAAUAUCACUCAAAAGUAAGUAGCAAAGACCCUUUUUAUAGUAGAAUUCAAACUUUUCGUUUACGGAGGAAAUAUGACUAGUUACAACAUAAUUGUGCUAAUUAAUUGUUAUUUUCAACCUUUUUCUUUAGCAUUUUUAAAAGGAAAAAAUAGAGAAUGUUACUCUUACCUGGGGUGGCUUCUACUAGUUAAUUGUCUAAAGUUAUGAUUAAUUUUUUUCAGAAAAUUCAUUGUGUUAAUUCAACAAGCCUAAAUCCUUGUGUAUGCAAUAAAUUUGCAAACCAUUGAGUUUUAUAAUGUGAAAUUCUAAUAUUGCUAAAUUUCUUGUCCCACUAACUGAAAUAACCAAAAAUUGCCGAAAGUAAGGUAAUCACUAGCUUGCUAAUAUAAUUCUCCAGCUUCCAAUGAAUAUAGAAAGUACUAUACAGCAUCAGUAAAUCUAACUUUAAUGACCUAAAAUUCUUCUUGAGAUACAGUAUAAGGGUUCAUAUUUACAAGUUUUAUGCCCAAGAAGUUUCUCUGAAAACUAUAUAUACAUACAUAUAUAUUGUGGUUCAUAAAACAAGACCUCCAAAAAUCCAAAUGCUUACCAGUUGAGGAACAAACUUCUGGUGAAUACAGCCUAGACAUAUUGAUGGUUCUCAUGGACGAGCAGCCGAAAGUGAGCUGAGAGCACGUAGACGAUGAAAGUACUCCCCCAUGGCAAGUAAAACUCGAGCUGCUUGACGGGUUGUCAGGAUUCGAGCCAUCUGCUGCAGCGUCUGCUGGCGAAGGUGAUCAGCCUGUUUUGGGAACAACACAUGCAAAAUCCAGUAAACAAAGUGCACAUCUUAGGAUAAUAUACUAACAUACACUUGAGAAUUAUUCAAACAAUUCUAGACAAUCUUAGAUAUGUUAUAUAUUUCUACAUAAAUUGUCAUGAAAUAAAGAAACUCCAUUCUCCCUCCUCUCCGAGCUGUGAAAGCCGUUAAAGUGGUGUCAUUUCAUAUCGUGAGUCUUUGAUUGCUUGUGAUCAUCAUAUUCAAGUUCGGCAUCAGUUGGUUUUAGGUUAAAUGCUUAACAAAAACAUCAGUGGCACAUCAACAACACCCUCACAUUCUCAAGCUUUGAUUUUUCAUUUAAAAGACUGAACUCAAUAUUUAAGUUCAAGUGAUCAGAUACAACUGAUGAAAAGCAAAGAAUGUCAUACCUGGCUUACAAAGUUUUCUAAGGCUUCCAAUUUAUCUAUUGCAGCAACCAUCUGAGCUCUGUAGUUUCCUGAACACAAAUCAGAUGCUACACUCUCGGCCAAACUCUGCUGCAGUUUUUCUACUCCUUGGGAAAGAGCAUCUUCAGCUUCCUGAGAAGAUUGUCGAAGAUUACAUACUUCCAAAUGCUGUUGAUCAGUCAACGGCUCAAUUUGUGGCACCACAACCUGAACAAACAGAAUUCCAAAAUCCAUAAUUCAUGAGUAGAAAAGUAGCUACUAUUGGUGCAUCAGCCCUACACUAUUUGAUUAUCAUGAGAAGUUAUUGACCUCAGUCGGUAGCUCAUAUGGCAUCUCCAGGAAAAGACAAAAGAAACUAAAGAUUUGAAAAUAUCCAAAUAAAGCUUCAGAUCGUUGAGGAUAAAUGUACUUGUCUUCACUUUACUCUUUUACUCUUUACUAAUGCAACAGUUGAUAUCAAGUGGUGAAAUAAUAUUCACUAGUUUCCGUAGUUGGUUUUUGCAAGCUCAUUAGGAUCUGUACAUGCUUCUCCGAAGAAAAUGUUUCCUACAUGGAAGAUCUCCAUGAUUCUAUGUAGGGUAGAUAUCUUAUGAGAGAAUUUGGGAUGAAUUUAUUCAUAUUAAUCGAUAACGAAUUGGCAGCCUUCCAGAAAAAUAAGAGUUAUACGAGAUUGAGCAUUACAUUUAAAAGCGCCGACGGGCGGAAUCCUCCGAUCCAGUGGAAAAAACGCUCGGCUGAAGUUCUCCAUAUACCCGAGAUCAAAUAGAAGACAUCUGCCUUAGCAGCAUCAGCUUUCAUGCGGAACAGAUUGUAAUAGUGGUUCAAGCCACUUUCUACGAGUAUAUGGAGCUCUAUAUCAGUAAUGUGUGCCUGGACUGCAGUUCUAAGUUCACAAAUCAGUCUAUUUUGCUCUUCAACCCAGUGUCUGUAUUCCAUCUCAAAUGAAGUAAUCCCUGCCAAAUUCAAAUGAAAAGAUUCUAAACAAGAAAGCAAGACAUAUGCACUUUACAUUUACACGAGAAAAAUGUGAAAUUCAAAGGGAGGGAAACCUUUGCUCAUUGGUUGCUAGUUAAUGAAGCAUAAGGUAAAACAAGUCUACUUUCUUUGAAAGCUAUAUAAAUUAAAUCUUCCAUCACUUAUGUGCUUCGCAUUGUGAUUUGUGAGACCUUCGGACAUAAUUUUCUAUUGUUUGAAAUAACAACUAGCUUACCGAUUCCAAUUAUGCAAUAUCAUUAUUGUGAAUGUCAAAAUUACAAAAGAAUGAAAAUUAUACAAAAUUUAUGCUAGUAAACAUGCGAGCAUAAUAACUUUCAUUCAUGACUUAAGUGAAGAAAGCCAUUGAACUAUAAUAACCACUUUAAUUAAGGAAAUAUCUCAAAAAAGUGCUAAUAAGAUGAUAAAACUUGCUCAUAUAAAACAAAUAUAUGACAGUGAACUAAGAUGUCGGGAAGGUUAAUAUUCUGCGAGUCAAUCUAUAAAGCAAAAACAAUGAUAAUUGAAGUAGAUUAGAUCACAAACCUGAGUUUACAGUUCCAGACAGUCCAAAAUAACCAGCCUCUGAUGCACCGGCUAUCUGUAUACCCUGCGUUAAGGCAUUAGCUAAUCUGUUACAUAUGCCACAUUUAUAAACAUGAUUAAAAGAGAUAUUUUUCUUGAAAAUAAAAAGAAAAGGAAAAAGAAAUGCCUUGUUGAUAAACAGAGAAAACAUAUUUUGGGGGGGGGGGGAGAGAGAGAGAGAGUUCACUUCACCUGCUGCCUAGCUCUUUCAAGCUCUUGCUCCAAUUGAGCUAGUUUCAAACGACUUGAUUCUAGUUGUUGAACAUAGGCCUAUAAGAGAAAAUCAGUUUACAAGUACUUGUAGAUGUUCAAUCAAUGAAAUAACUGUUCAUCUACCUUUUUCCGCAUUCGGCUUUUACGAGCAGCUUCACGAUUUUGAGCCAAACGUCUCUGUAUCUGCACAUAUUAUGCUUCUUUAAAUAAAAGAUAAAUAGAGUUGAAACAGGUAGGAGAUGCGGGAGUUCUAAUAUAUUUAAAAUGUAAAACAGCUACACAGCCGCAGAACAGGAACCGCACAGAUUGGAUUUUAUAAUACUUUCCUUUAAAAAGGGUUCAGGGUUAUGUCUGGACUUUGAAGCAUGCCUUAAGCACAAAUGCUCACAAGUAGGCAUUAGCACAUAUGACAGAAAAAAAAAAGCUAUUAUUUCUUAAAUGUUAUCGAGGGAAGAUAUGUGUCUUGCAGAGAAAGAGCAAAUGCGGCAAAUUCAUUACCUUAUCGGAGGGUUUGUUGGUUUCUUGAUCACUAAUGGAUGGUUCCACUUGCUCACAAGGUAUACAUUCAGCCUAGGAUUUAAAUCAGCAUAAAUUAGUUAUAGCCUGAAACUGAAUAAAAUGCUUAACCAACCAAGAAAUAAAACUACGAUGCAAUUUCACCUUGUUCUUUAGCCUGACAUCUGCUGGAACAAUUGUGGAUGAUCCAAUAUUUGGACUAUUGUCACCAUUGAAGGUGUCUGCCCACCUGCUUAUAUGGUGGAAUUGCUCAUAUAUCGCCAUCCUUCUGGUAAGUUCAGUUGAUGGAGAGCUCAUACUCUAUCAAGCAACUGGAACAGAACCAAAAACCAACAAAUAGCUUACAAAUCUUAUGCCGAGGACAGAAUCUUAGAUUUCAACAAUGCUUACAUUGUUUCCUUACCUCUAUCCAUGGAUCAAUCUCCAUGGGUGGAAAACAAUGUAGUGAUACAAAUGCUGAAACGAGAACACAACAAAGAUCAUCUCAAUACUAGCAAAAGUCCCAAGAACUACAGAACAUCUAAGCUAUAUGUAGGAGGGAUCUAAUAAUUUUUCUUGUUUGGACCAAUUGAGUUAUGUUAAGAGUUUCCCUCUCUUUCUAGCGUGCAUUACUAUUAAGGAUGUUGGAUGAAGGUUUCUAGUUUUCUCCAAAGGCAAUAAAAAUGACUAGAAAAAGAAAUUACUAACACUUCUAAAUGAAUAUCUAUAACUAGCAAACAGGCAUGGGGAAACAUAGCAAAGUUAUAAACAAGAUGUCCCCUCUUAUCUUUCUUAAACUCAAAACAAAGAAAAUACUAUUCAACAUUUUCAAGCCUAAUGAAAUUCAAUUUCCCUUCACAUGAAAAUCUAGAUGAGAAAAAUUGGGUAAAAGUACCAGGGAGGCCCCUGUACUAAGAGUUAGAUUGCAUUUUGCCCCCUUUACUAAAAAAAUGAGCAAAUUACUCCCUAUAGAUCAAAGAGCAAACUGAUCAUUCUGUAAAAAAAUCAUCCAUUUGUACUGUUAAAAGCUAGUGUGAUUGACAGAAUAACUAAACAGUGACACAUAGCGUGCCACAUGUAAUAGAAAUAGAUGAAAUUUUUAACAUAAGGACCAAUUUGCUCUUUUAUCUAACUUACAGGGACUAAUUUACUCAAUUUUUUGAGUAGAGGGGACAAGAUGCAAUCUAUCUCCUAGUAUAGGUGGUACUUUUACCCUCAUGAUAAACAUUAGUUCACAGUUCACUCCAAAAUGAUGUACCAAAAUACAAGACAACCAGCUCUACUUUUACAUUCAGUUCUUGCUCUUAGUAAGUAACUAGACUCGGCUAAUGCUCUUAAUUGGCGCCAAAGUUACAUGUUACAAAUUACAAGCAUCCACAAAGUAUACCAAACUUCCUGCAUGGCCAUCAUAGAUUACACCAACCCAGUAAAGCACAAAUUUACUAUACUGAUGUGAUCAAAGAAGGAAAAAUGAAAAUUGAAUCUCUCAAAAGUUUCAAAUUUCUCGUCAACCCAGAAUAGAAAACAACAAAAGUUGAAAUUUAGAAACUUAACUAAUCUUAAUAAAUAGAAAAUUGAGCCUUUCAAAAUUUACAUAAAAACUUGAGAGCUGAGAAACUUUACUAACCUUAUGGAUCAACAAAACUUCAGAUAAUCAAAGUCCUUCAAUUAAAAAAGGAAAGAAAGAAAUUGAACACUCAAACACUCUGUUGUUGCUGUAAAAACAGCAUUUUCAACCACUCCAUGAAAGCAAAUAAAAGAAAACAACCCAAAAAUUAAAAAUAGUUCAUAAACAGAAAGAAUUUGUAAAUAUAUUUAUUUCUAAAAAUCUCUAGUCAAACGUUAACGUCUGAGUGUUUGUACAGCAGCAAAAAAUAUAAAUAAGGAAAAAGACGAUAUGCGCAUAACUUUUUUUUUUUUAUCCUACGCACCCUACUCUCCCUUAACCUACGCCACUUAUUCCCCCAGGCCUCAAUUAGUGUCAUCAUAACUGACGUCAUUUCCCGGUCCAAAUUAUAACGAACAUUUGGCCCUUUAAAGGAUUUGCUGGUGGUCGUCCGUUGGGGACCCACGUGGUGGAAUAUGAUUGGUUGGGAAGUUUGUAAAGCUAGCAGACAGCCACUCAUCUUUUCCCUAUUCUUUUUAUUUCUAAUAAUAAUACAUUUCUAGAAACCAAAGGUAUUUCUUUUUAACAAUAUUUUCUCUUAGUAUUACAAACAAGUAACACGACACAAAUUUUACUAUAUGCUUCAAAAUAUUUAUAUAUAACAAAAUUUUUAAGAGAAAUAAAGUUAAUGAUUUUAAAGAAUCUCAUGAGCUUGAAGAGUUUUUUUUUUGAAGAGAUUUGAUUGGGUUUUGUCAUAUUUAUAAGCCUCUCUUAAUCAUAAAGAGGGCUUUUAUAGAGAUGAUCCAUCUAAAAAGUGAGUGGAUUUGGGUAAAAAUAUAAAUUUAAAAAAUAAAUUUAGGAAAAAAAAGUAGGCCCGCCUUGAGUAAGCUCUUUUUAGCCCCGAGCUCGACCAAAAAAAAACGGUUGCAUUUUAGUGCUAUUUUGAUGCCGUUUUGCUAUUAUAUUGUUACUAUUUUGUUGUUAUUAUUUGGAUAUUAUGUAACUCUUGUUUUAUUGUUAAUUUUACUACUAUUUUAGUUGUAUUUGUUUGUUAAGGUACACCUAUCUUGAUGUUAUUUAAGUAUAAAUAAUUUUUUAAAUUUAUUUUCAAUUUGUUGGGAAAUAUUUAUUUUAAUAUUUUUAGUGUAUCUGAUGUAUUAUAUUUUUUAAAUUUGUUCUUAUAUAAAAAAAAUUAAUACGGGUGAACCAGGUCAGGCUGAGAUUUUAGCAUUUUUAUCUAACCGGAUUUAAAUAAAAUUUUAAGCCAAAUUAUUAGAUCGAAUUAAGUCAAAAACUUAAAAAACGAACUUAAAAUUCUACUGAGUACAGGCUUAACCUAUAAUCACCUCUAAUUUUAAUGUAGGUCACACCAGAAAAAUACAAGUUGGUUAUAAAGGUAUGGAUGGUUGAUUAGUAUGUGAUGGGGGCAACUUGAGGAGAAUGUAUGAGAAUGGGUAUAAUAAUUGACCCUUAGUGGAGAAUAAAUUAUUAAGUGAUGUUAUACUUGUGGUUAAUACUUUAGUAGGCUAAACUUGACGAAUUCUCUCUCUCCAAAACCAUAACACUAAGUAAUCUAGAUUUUUAGUAUUUAAAAAUCACUCUAUAUAUAAAUUUGUGCUUCACACAUUUGUGAAGAGUUUGUACAAUUAGGGAGGAAAAAUGAAGAAUUAGUAACAAUUAACACUCUUAUUAAAACGCCGACGUUUUGAAAAUAUUUAGAUUUUAUAUUCGAAUUUUAUUUUAAAUAAAUAUUUAGAUUUUCAAAUUUAUUUUAAUUAUGUUUUUGUAAUAAAUAAAUAAAUAAAAGGAACAGGUCAUUUCUUUUCCUUGGGAGGGGGGGGGGGUAGGGGCUACCCCAUGAACCACAUUAACCCUUAAAUAAUACCACCAAUUUGCAUGUAUAAUCUGCCUAUCUCUAUCACUCCUUUUCGCUCUCACUUUCAACACACAUAUACCCACAUUAUUACGUUGCAUUUACGUAGCAAACCAUUUUCCCUGCCGAAAAUGUAUUAUUAUGAUGGUUACUUAUUUUUUUUCUUGAACGAGUUUUAAUUUGAUUGAUAUGAAUAUUAUUAUCAAUGCAAGAGGACGUGGGUUCGAGUGCAUUGAAGCGCAUUAUCUUCCUAUUUAUGGGUUGGGGAGAGACUAUGAAUAGCUUUAAGCACUAUGUCAAAAAAAAAUAGAUAUGAUCAGAACCUAUAAUGAGAUUGUUCAAAAAUUUUUUUUUUUUUGAAAACACAGCUUCACAAUAUCUUGAAUAUUAAAUUUUCAAAAGCAUGUGUUCUUUUUGACACAAUGCCUAGAAUUAUUCAUAACCCUUCCUCAACUCAUAAAUGGGAGGAUAAUACGUUUCAGCGCGCUCGAAUUCAUGUCCUACUAGAUUAGUAACAAUACCCACGGCAAUCGAAGUAAGACUCAAUUGAUUUUAUCUUUAUUAUUUAUUGGUGGAUAAAUGAUUUUUCUAGAAAAAAAAAGGAAAACAAUGGGGAAAUGGCCUAUAUAUGUUAAUGCCUGCUUUUUUUCCCUACAUGAUUGCCACUAUAUAUAAGAGGAGCACUAAAUUUUCUUUAUAGGAAUCUCAACAUUAUUAUAGUUAAUUAGAUAUUAUAGGUAGCAACAAAUGAAAGCCCCUUUUGAGUCCAAAAUGAGUUGCUCAUAUCAUAUCUAGUUUGGGUUAAGCUAAUUAAUUAAGAUAAGGGAGAGGGAGAGAAUCAGUGUGUAAAGUCUAAAGAGGAAAAGACAUCCACCAUAGAAAUUAGGUCACUUUUUCUUUAAUGCUUUCAGGUGGGAAAUUUUAAUUUCUUUCUUUGCUUUGCUUUUAACUUUUAAAUUUUAUUCUUUGAAUUUAGCUCCCUUCCCUACCUCCCAUAAUCCCAUUACUCAUGGGAUGGAAUCCAAGUGGCAUUCUUUUAUACAAAUUCUGGCUUGCCAAACAUAUAUAAAAGAUGAUUUUAAAGUUUUGGGCUCCUGUAAAGCAAUUUGAUGACUGAAUCCUUAGUUAACGACCUGAAAAAAAAGAUAGCUUUUUUAAGCCAUGCAAAUGGACAAAUAAUGGGGUUUUUUUAUUUUUAUUUAAGAAAAUAUUAUUAUUAAUAGGCAUAAUGAAUAACAAUAAUAUACGAUUCGGUGUAUAGUAUAAACAAUAAAUAAUUCACUAUAAAUUAAUGCACAAUUGUUAUGUCUAUAAAGUAAUCUAAAGAAAAUGACAAAUUGACAGUAACUGUAACAUUGGAAUAAUUCAUAAACAACUCAGAGAUGCAUUAACUUGAUCGAAUCGCUGAAAUUUAUAUCCUAGCAUCAUCAAAUUAACCUGAUGAUGAACAUCAAUCAACCAACAAAAGAUUGCCAAAAGCCUCAAGAGACCCCACUGUAUCAAUGAUGCAAAAAAAGUUAAGUCUUAGAUAGCUUAUCAUUCUCCUCAUCAUCUUAAAUUUAUCAUCAUCAUUAUGAUAUAUCGUGAUAAAGCUCUUUGAGAACAAUUCUUAAUAGAUUUGGUGCGCGCCUUUAUUUUGGAAAAUUUCACAUAUAAGUCAAAACAUAACUAAAAAUUAAAAGUAAAAAUAAAAUUAUCUCUACUUUUAAAGAAAAUAGAGCGGGCAAAACAAAAACUACGAAAAAUAUAUACAUAUAAAUAUACUUAUUUUAUUUUUAUUUUGUCUGAGGCACUUUGGUAAGGAUUGAACUACAUGUACGGUGGAUAGUAUAAAUUUGAACAUAGUUUAUCCUAAUUUAGAGCCAAACCUAAUUAUAAAUUUUUUAGUUUUUAUAAAAAAAAAUAUAGAUUUCUUCUCCAAGCAUUCGAAUAGUUCAAAUCUUAGAGUCAUCAUUAUUGAAAAGAUUUUACUCAAAUUCCGCUCUCAACCUGAAUAAGAUUAAUUUCAAACCGUAAAACGAAUAAAUAUAUCUAUAAUUACAUCAAUAAAAAAACUUAAGAUUCAAACCCUUCCAAUAGAUUCCCUUUUUUAAAAAAUCUUUCUAAAUUCAAAACUAAUUAUAGGCGAAUAUUUGGUGUUGAGAAUCAAUCGGAUAACAAAAAAAAUAGUGAUUUCAAUUAAUAUGUGGGCCCUCCAAAUGUUUUACUUUAGUUUCACCUCAGACAAAAAAAUAAACUUUAUUUUUAACUUUUGAAAUUGAAAUCAAAAUCUUAUAGAAUAAAAAUCAAAAUAUUUGAAACCAAUAAUUGUGAUUUGGUUUGAAUAUAUACAUAUAUAAUAUUGUUUCGGAAAAAACUAAUAUUGUAAUUCUUGAUUUUUUUUUUUCAAACAACAAUCAUGAUACAUGCUCUGGAUUCAUUUAUAUAUUUAUAAAGUGCAUUGAAUAAUUAAAUUAAUGUCAUAAUCAUUCAAAUUAGUUGUUAAAAGAAAAGUUAAUACAUAAAUCAUUCUUAUACCUAAUAUUUUGUUCUAUCAUUUCUUUUAAUUAGUUAUAACCGAGUCAUUGCAAUAUGCCAUAUAAUCAAUUAAAUUCAUAAAUAUCACAUGUAUAUAAUUAACAACUUGCGAAUAAUGAUUUAUUUUAUAAAUAAAAUAUUAUAAAUUUUCAUACACAAUUUUUCUAAAAUUAGAAUUAGCUUAUAAUUAUAAUUAUGAUAUUUAAGACUUAAUUUACUUACUCUAAUAUAAAAUUACACUUUUAUAACUUUUUUUUAUGAAAUAUUUGUUUGUAUGAAUAUAUCUAAUUUUACUAAUAACAGUUGGAUUAAAUGAAUUGAUCUAUUGUUAGAGAUUGUGUGACCUGAAUCUCGUCACUUGUUGAGGAAAUAAAUAUAGUGGCACAAUAAAGGAAUCUGUGGGGGCGAAAGGCCGAAGGCCGUAGGCCAUACAACACAAGUUGAAUCCAUAUAGAACUAUUCUUUUUCUAUUUGACUUUGAUUAGAGCAUGAUUUUUUAACCCUUAAAUAGAUGUAGUUGAAACUCCUAUUACAUCAUUCGUUUUUCAAGAUUAGUGAAUUUUCUCCUCCUUUGCCUGUGAUUUUUUUCCCGAAAGGGUUUCCACGUAAAAUAUGAGUAUUCUUUUUCUUUUCUUAUUGCUUUGUAAUUGUUUUACCGCCAUUAUCGAUGUUUAUUAUAACAUCUAUAUACAUUGAAAUGAUCAAUCUAUUAUUUUAUAAGAACUGUUCCUUCAUUUAGUCUUAUUUAAAUAAAACGAGUUCCAUGUAAAAAGAAAAAAAAACUGAACUUGAAUGGAAUUAUGCGAUUUGAAUAAUAACAUUAAUCUAAAACUAAAUUAAAUAAUAUAAAAUUUAAACCGAACUGAACACAUUAACUCGAAUCAUUUACUUAUAUUCAAUUUAAAAAGUAUUUCUUUUGUGGAUGCAUAGGAUGGGCAAAAGACAAAAACAAAUUGAUGUAACUUUUGUUCAUUAAUAUAAAUGAUUAGAUCAAAAGAUAGGAUAAUGCUUACCACUGCCACUGAAACGUCUUCUUUUUGUUGCCCUUUUCCUUUUUAACCAAAUUUUAGAACCUUUAGAAAAACAAAAGCAAUCUCAUCACCUCAAUAAUUCAAUCCAAUCCUUAUUUUUCAUACAAUAAUAUUUAUGCCUAGAAUUGCGUUAUGGAAAUGAGAUCUUUGGGUAUGAAAUGGGAAUAUUUUAAUAAUUCAGUGUCACAUCAAUAAUUUUAUAUUAAAUUUUAAUUUUUUUUAAAAUAAAAAUAUUGAUAUAACAUUAAAUUAUUUUAAAAUAGAUACAAAUAACAUGGAGUCUAUGUUUCGUACUAUUCUUUUUCUGAUUACCAAUUGUAUUUAUAAAGGAUUUACUUUUCACUAAUGCAAUUCGUGAAACGUCUUCACAAAGGAAAUUCUCUUGGAGUUCAAGGAGCUUGUCAUUCGCUCUUUAAUUCCUUUAAUCGUAGUGCUUCAUUGAUUAAAGCAAUCAUAUCUAAUCAUAUAUAUGUUACAAAAGAAAAAGAAAAGAAAAGAAAAAGCUAGUCAUAUAUGUUAUAAAAAAAUAGAAAAGUAUAUGGAAAUUUUGAGUUUUAAGUUAAAUUUUUAUUUUUAAAAUAUUUUUUAAUAAUAUUUAUUUUUAAAUAUGAUUUUAUUACUAUUAUUGAAUACGUAUGAUAUAUAAUAUAAAUAUUUACAAAUUAAAAUCAUUAAAAAAUAAAUAAAAUAUCCGACAUAUAUAAUGAUAUAGACAUUUUUAAUUGAUAUUAUAUUAUGUGACCAUUAAUUAAUACGAAGUCAUAUUAUUAAUCAAUAAAAAAUUUCAUUAAAAUGGUUAAUUACUGAGGUAAACGAAGGGAAGGAGAUGAUGGUUUGAUGAAGAAGGAAAGAGCACAGGUUGGGAGGAAGUAUUAAUUCUCUUGGGGGAGAUGGAGAUUUGGUGGGUUGUCUAGGUGAGUUUGUGAGCUAUUUGCAUAGCUCUUUUAUAGUAGAGGAUAAUUUUGGUAACGUCUUAAGAUACUUGGCGUGAAAGCCUGAUUUGAUAUAUUUAAUAGUGAUAAUGAUGUGAUGUCUUAGGAUGAGAUAUGUUACAAUGACUAACAAUUAACUAUUCAGGAUUUCCACAUGAUGCUCAUAUAGUCUUAGAGAUACAUAGUUCGUCAGGCUGAGGUUUGCGUGCUAACUAUAGGUGAGGAGGUGCAUAGUUCGCCAAGUUGAUAUUCGCGAACUAACUAUUGAUAAGUUGUUAGAUCUGUUAUAUGAGGUAUAACAAAAAUCACUAUGAAAAGUAAAUUUUAUUAUAAAUUUCCUUCAAAAAGAUUAUUUAUAAAUUAGAUAUAUUUUAUUUAAAAUAAAAAAAAUAUUUAUAAUAAUAAUUUAGAAAUAUAAUGAAUAUCUAACUAUUUCCAUUAGAUAAAUAUAUAUAUACACACAAUAAAUGGGAAAAUCUACGGUAAAUGAAGGCUUGCGAAUCGAACUCAAGCCACACUUGGAGCGGUGAGCACCCUUAGCCGUCAAGUCAUUACAUGGGUUUCAAUAUAUAUAUUUUUAAUUUUUAAUCAACAAACGGGCUGGACUUUAUGAGAAUAAAACAAAUAGAUUAAAAACAAAAGCAGUAUAAGGCCCAAAACAAACAGGCCUGCAAGCAAAAUUAGAUAAAACACCCCGAAAAGACGUUACCAGCGACAUUUAAAUGGAAUCCCAUUUUAUUGAAUAUUUUCAUUUAUUAUUUAUUUUAUAAAAUAAUAUUUGGUAUAUUGUUAAUAGAGUUUUCAGACUCCACAAGUAGAGUUAGGGAGAUUGACAAAUGUCUUAUAUGAGUAUACUAAAAUAAUAAUAAAAUAUUUUAAAAAAGAGAAACAUAUGACAAUUUUUUAAGAUAGCUUGUGAAAUAAAAAAAAAACACUUUUAUUACCUAUUAAUAUAUUAAAUGGGAAUAAAAUUAUAUUAGGAUCAUCCUAAAAAACAUAGUUUUUAGGCACUAAUAAAAUAGUGCCACGUCAUUAAAUUUUAAAGAUAGUAAAGUAUUAUUAUACACUCAUCUAUAUCUAAUAUCUUCUCCAACUUAAUUUAACUUGAAUUAAAUUACUUAAAAUAAUUAAUUUUUUAAAUUAUAAACAAACAUCUUUUAUUCUUUUACAAGUUUUAAUUAUUCUGUUUUUUUUUCAUAAGUUAAUAUUUUUUAUUUUUAUGCAACCAAAUUUUUUAAAAAGAUAGUAAUUUUUGUACAAUUUUUUUCAUGCCAUUGACACAUGAUUUUGGUAAUUAUUUUAUCUUGAACCCCGAACCUUGAGGUUCAGGGUUUCAAUUUGAGAUUUAAGAUUCAUAGUUUUUAUUUGAGAUUUAGGGUCAGUUCUUCGUUGCUGUGGAAAAGUGCUGUGGAAAAGUGCUUUUGAAAAGUUUGAUUUAAAAUUUGAGUGUUUAGCAUUGCUGUCAAAAAGUGCUUUUGAGAAAUAAAAUUUUCAUUUUAAACAUGUUAUUAUCAAGUAACAAAUAUGCAUUUAAAUAAUAUUUAAAUUAGUUAAUAUUAUUAUAUUUUAGUAAGAAUAUAAAAAAAUUAUUAUAACUUGUUGUUAAUAUUUUAAUAUAUGAAAUAUAAAUUUUAAAUAUUUUUAAGCAAUAAAUAUUAAUUAUUUAUAAAAUUUAAUUAGAAUAUAUAAACUAUAUUUUAAAUAUUUAAAUAUAACCAUUAAAUAUUUGUAAUUAGUAUUUUAAAAAAUAUUUUUUUAUUUUUAAUUAAUGAUUUUAACACAUUUGUACUUAAGCACCAAGAAAAAAAAAAGAAAAUACUAUGUUAUUGGAGGGGUGAAAAAGUAAUUAAACACCAAAAGUACUUUUGGGAGAGGAAAAGCUGAAAUUUUUAGCUUCUCCUUCUCAGAAGUGCUUUUGAAAAGCACGUCUGAAAAACUAAAAAUUUCAGCCAAAAGCAGCUUGUUCUUCACAGCUUUUCUUCCAAAAGUGCUUUUGGAGUCAGAAAUACUUUUUUUAAGCAAUGAAGAACUGGCCCUUAAGGUUCAAGGUUUGGGCGUUAGGUUUGGGAUUCAAGGUUUAAAGUUUAAAUUUAUAUUUAGGGUUACAAAUUAUGAGUUCAAGAUUCAGGGUUUGAGUUUAGGGUACAAGGAUUUAAGAUUAUAGUUUGGGGUUCUAAAUCUUUGAGUUAGGAAUUAAGAUUCUAUAUUCAAGUUUCAGGGUAAAAGAAAUUCUCAAAAUUAUUUGUCAAUGACAUGAAAAAAAUUGUUGAAAUAUUAUUAAAUAAUUGAAAAGGAGCCAUGAAUAAUACGGUGGAAAUGGUCCAUAAAAUAAUUUAUCUAUUAAUGAGUGUAUAAUAAUAAUUUCAUAACUUUAAAAUUUGAUGAUGUGGUAAACAAAUUUUGGUGCCUAAAAACCUUAGUUUUUAAGAUCAUUCUAAUGUAAGUUAUUCCCCUAUUACAUAUCAUGUUUGUAUUAAAACCUUAACUCUUCUUCUCAACAAGUUCUGAAGUUUCAAGAGCAAAUGAACAACAGUGCCAACAAUACUAGGAGUAACACUGCCAAAAUACCGAAAUUAUAAAAGAGUAGAGGGCAAGUCAAACCCCCUUCCCUCCAAACCCAACAUGAUGAAGCUGCUUUUUCUCUAAAUGCCCAAGGUUAAGCUCAUAAUUCCCACUCAAAAUCUUUGACCACAACAACAUACAUGUCACGAUGAGAUAGAGGUGUUAAGAAGAAACAUUCAAGCUUUAAGGCCCGAAGAUAAAGAAAUGGACUAGGCCUUUUGUUCUAAUACCCCCCUUUGCCUGUGAUUGGAAGUGCUGAUUUGCCACAAAGGAGACAUUCAUGCAACUGUGCAUUUAAUGUAGUAUCACUACGACAACAACUAACCGAUUACUAUGCCUACUAUCAUUAGCUUAAAUCAAGUCAGUUUUGUUGUUGGGAGGAAUAUGACUAAUAAUAUCAUUAUAGCUUAAGAGAUUAUCUAUACCACGAGGAUGAAGAUAGAGUAAACGAUUUAACUAUGAGAAUUAUUUUAAUGUAAACACUAACUUUGUGUUUGUCUUUUAUAUAGGAAGAGUGAUUAACUUUAGGUAACAGCCAAAUAAGACGACGAUUAUCGUUUUUAUAAUUGAGAUUAGUAUGGUUCAUAAUCUAAGUUUUGGGUUAAUUAUUUAUUUAUGUCAAAUUAUAGAGUAAACUUUUGAAGGCUAAAAUAUGAUUUAAGUCGUAUAUUAAAAAUUUAGUCCCUAUUUUUACUUUUAAGGAUUUAGUUCCUUUAUUUUUUGCUUUAAAAAUUUUAAAUCUAGUUGUUAUGAUUAUUAAAAUUAUUCUAUUAAACUUACUAGUGCACAUUUUUUAAAUAAAAGAAAAUAUUCACUUGUUAGUCAUGUAACAAUAAAAAUAAUGUUAAAAUUAUUAAUGUGGAAUUUUUUUUCUUAAAACACAUAUUCAAACUUGUCAUGAGUUUUUUUUGU